rnacentral:rRNA from 1 species
UACGUAGGGUGCAAGCGUUAUCCGGAAUUAUUGGGCGUAAAGAGCUCGUAGGCGGUUUGUCGCGUCUGCUGUGAAAACUGGGGGCUCAACCCCCAGCCUGCAGUGGGUACGGGCAGACUAGAGUGUGGUAGGGGAGACUGGAAUUCCUGGUGUAGCGAUGGAAUGCGCAGAUAUCAGGAGGAACACCGAUGGCGAAGGCAGGUCUCUGGGCCAUUACUGACGCUGAGAAGCGAAAGCAUGGGGAGCGAACAGG